rnacentral:pre_miRNA from 1 species
AAUAGAUGACGCCGUUGGCUUAUUCUCACAUGUUUGAUCAUUCGUCUUAUUCAAAAAAUUUACGUAAUUAUAAUUUAUUUUUGUUAUGAGUUGUUUUAUCACUCAUAAUACUUUAAUUGUGAUUUAUAUCUUAUAUAUUUAUAUAAAAUUUUUGAAUAAGACGAAUGGUCAAACAUAUGAGAAAAAGUCAACAGCGUCAUCUAUU